rnacentral:rRNA from 1 species
AGUAACGCGUGAGGAACCUGCCUUCCAGAGGGGGACAACAGUUGGAAACGACUGCUAAUACCGCAUGAUACAUUUGAAUCGCAUGGUUUGAAUGUCAAAGAUUUAUCGCUGGAAGAUGGCCUCGCGUCUGAUUAGCUAGUUGGUGAGGUAACGGCCCACCAAGGCGACGAUCAGUAGCCGGACUGAGAGGUUGGCCGGCCACAUUGGGACUGAGAUACGGCCCAGACUCCUACGGAAGGCAGCAG